UUUGAAGCUUCAUCUCUUCAACAAUUUAUUCCUACACAUUUUUAUCGAAUAAAGAUGAACUUAAUAAAUCUCUUUUUAAAAUACAGUCAUGUUAUGCCAGUGCGGUGGUGGCUCAUACCUGUAAUUUCAGCCCUUUGGGAGGCCGAGGUGGGUAGAUCACUUGAGGUCAGAAGACAAGCCUAGCCAACACGGUGAAACCCCAUCUCCACUAAAAAUACAAAAAUCAGCCAAGCAUGGUGGCACACACCUUUAAUCCCAGCUAAUCGGGAGGCUGAGCCUGGAGAAUUGCUUGAACCUGGGAGGCAGAGGGUGCAGUGAGCUUAGAUCAUGCCACCGCACUCCAGCCUGAAUGACAGAGCAAGAUUCUGUCUCAAAAAUAAAAUAAAAUAUAAAAUAAAAUAAAAUAAAAUAAAAUACAGUCAUGCACCACAUAAUGAUAUUUCAGUCAACUAUUGACUACAUAUAAGAUGGUGGUCCCAUAAGAUUAUAAUGGAGCUGAAAGUUUCCUUCUCUAUAUUUAGAUAUGUUUACAUCCACAAAUCAUUACCAUUGUAUUAUAAGUGCCUACAGUAUUCUGUACAAUGGCAUGCUGUACAGGUUUGUAGCCUGGGAGCAAUACGCCAUAUCAGGGAGCCCAGGGGUGUAGUAGGCUGUACCAGGUAGUAGGUUUGUGUGAGUAAACGCCAUGGUGUUCACAGAACAACAAAAUCACCUAAGGAUACACUUCUCAGAAUGUACCCCCAUCAUUGAGUGAUGCAUGACUGUGUAAGUGUCCCUCAAAGAGAGAUUACAUAGUCAAAUACUAAAAUAAAUUAGGGGACCUAUGCGACCCCAGGAUGCCAGGAUGGUGUCUGGAUCAGGUAGGGCGAUGUUCCAGCUGAAGUGGGGGUGAGGCAGGCACAGAAUUCCUUAAAGAGCACUGAAAGUACAUGAGGGUGACUAGAAGGGAGGAAUAGAUAUUGGAGAUUAGAAAUAGAGGUAGAACCACGAAUGAAAUGCAGCAAAAACACAAGAAACCUGUUGCUGCUCUCCUUGGGACCACACAUGAACUAGGAGUGGCUGUGGCCAAGAUUGGUGGGUGCAGCUUCACACCCAGUUAGCCACCCUGCACCGUCUGCCUCACCAGGCUAAUACUGUCUUUGUGCUUCCUCCACUCCUUCCUGGGUGAGCCUCCUCCAAGGUUCAGCCUGCCCAGCCCGGGCCGGGAGAACAGGGAAAGGGAAGAGGAGUAAGAAAAAGAAAGAAGCAUAUGAGUGCUGCCUCGCUCCUUCUCUCAUAUUGUUCCUCGUGUCUCAGUAAGAACUCAGACAACUUGGCUUGACCCUUGAGCUCUAGGUUAAGGAAGCAUGAGAGGGAAAAUCCACAUGUACGUGAGUAUACGUAUUUAUGUGCGUGUUUGCGUGCUUGAGUGUAUAAUUAUGAUAUUGUAAUUGACCCUGAUCUUUCACUCUGCUACAUAACAUUUUCAUGCAUAUUUAUAUUCCAUUAAAACGUUCUAAAUUGCCCAACGUCAGAUCAUAGUGUCCCAGGAAGAACAUGUACUUUGUUUAUCCUGUGAUUUCUUUUAUACCAAACAAUUUUUGCAACGUUCAGUUUAAGGAGUCUAACAAUAUGUUCCAUUUUGGCAUUUUCUUGUUUCAAUUUCAAUGAGAAGAACUGUACAUUGCCAUCAGGAGGGCAAGAUACACUUGAUAUUUUAUUCCCUAGUUAAUUCAAACAUCCCUUCCUUUCCAUCUUGUCCCCAGUAUUAAUGUAUUCAUUAAAAUUGCUUCCAGUGUUAAAAAAGGAAACUUGAGUCCAACUGAGCCAUAUGUUGACAGAUCCCACACUUGGCUCUGGGCAAGGUUGCAAAGGGCAGAGGGGUUGCAUCUUGACAGGAGUGGGCAUCAGCGCCAUGUGGCUGGAUUCCCACGCCAGUCAGGAACACAGGUAUCUCCUCUGCUCCACUAUUUAUGGGGUCUUUCU
ensembl:lncRNA